AGUGAACGCUGGCGGUAGGCCUAACACAUGCAAGUCGAACGGCAGCACAGUAAGAGCUUGCUCUUACGGGUGGCGAGUGGCGGACGGGUGAGGAAUACAUCGGAAUCUACUUUUUCGUGGGGGAUAACGUAGGGAAACUUACGCUAAUACCGCAUACGACCUACGGGUGAAAGCAGGGGAUCUUCGGACCUUGCGCGAUUGAAUGAGCCGAUGUCGGAUUUGCUAGUUGGCGGGGUAAAGGCCCACCAAGGCGACGAUCCGUAGCUGGUCUGAGAGGAUGAUCAGCCACACUGGAACUGAGACACGGUCCAGACUCCUACGGGAGGCAGCAGUGGGGAAUAUUGGACAAUGGGCGCAAGCCUGAUCCAGCCAUACCGCGUGGGUGAAGAAGGCCUUCGGGUUGUAAAGCCCUUUUGUUGGGAAAGAAAAGCAGCAGGUUAAUACCCCGCUGUUCUGACGGUACCCAAAGAAUAAGCACCGGCUAACUUCGUG
rnacentral:rRNA from 1 species